rnacentral:tRNA from 2 species
GCCGGAGUGGUGAAACUGGCAGACGCGCCGGACUCAAAAUCCGGUGGGGUUUACCCCCCGUGAGGGUUCGAUUCCCUCCUCCGGCA